CCUACGGGAGGCAGCAGUGGGGGAUAUUGCACAAUGGAGGGAACUCUGAUGCAGCGACGCCGCGUGAGGGAAGAAGGUUUUCGGAUUGUAAACCUCUGUCUUCGGUGACGAAACGAGACGGUAGCCGAGGAGGAAGCCACGGCUAACUACGUGCCAGCAGCCGCGGUAAUACGUAGGUGGCAAGCGUUGUCCGCAAUUACUGGGUGUAAAGGGAGCGUAGGCGGGAAAGCAAGUUGAAUGUUUAAGGUACGGGCUCAACCUGUACAAGCGUUCAAAACUGUUUUUCUUGAGUGGAGAGAAGUAUGCGGAAUUCGUGGUGUAGCGGUGAAAUGCAUAGAUAUCACGAAGAACUCCGAUUGCGAAGGCAGCAUACCGGCUCCAUACUGACGCUGAGGCACGAAAGCGUGGGGAUCGAACAGGAUUAGAUACCCGAGUAGUC
rnacentral:rRNA from 1 species